rnacentral:rRNA from 1 species
AUUGAACGCUGGCGGCAGGCCUAACACAUGCAAGUCGAACGAGUGGCGGACGGGUGAGUAAUGUCUGGGAAACUGCCUGAUGGAGGGGGAUAACUACUGGAAACGGUAGCUAAUACCGCAUACCAUCAGAUGUGCCCAGAUGGGAUUAGCUAGUUGGUGGGGUAACGGCUCACCAGGGCGACGAUCCCUAGCUGGUCUGAGAGGAUUACCAGCCACACUGGAAUGGAGACACGGUCCAGACUCUGACGGGGGGAAGCAGUGGGGAAUAUGGAACAAUGGGGACAAGCCUAAUGCAGCCAUGCCGGGUGUAUGAAGAAGGCCUUCGGGUUGUAAAGUACUUUCAGCGGGGAGGCGUAACCGGCAGAAGAAGCACCGGCGAACUCCGUGCCAGCAGCCGCGGUAUUC